GGUGUUGUACCAUUUUCUCCUUGAAGUCUUGUGUCUCAGAUGAACUUUUCUCAGCUGUAGCACCGGCACUGUGAACAUACUUUCCUCGAUAAACACAAUGAUCACUCGGCGUCCUCUCUGCCUGGACUCGUCUACAUUAUAUUUCCUGAACAACUUCCUGUCUCUGUCAUUUGCCUGUCUUUGCCAUUGUUCAUCUGGAAGGAACAACCUGAACUGAAUGUAUCUGUGCCACACCUUUACACGGACAGACACAGUUUCUUGAAGGUGGUGGUGGUGGCUCAAGUGGUUAAGGCUCAAGGGUUCAAGCCCCAACACUGCCAAGCUGCCACUGUUGGGCCCUUGAGCAAGGCCCUUAACCAUCACGGCUGACCCUGCACUCUGACCCCAACCUCCAAGGAUGCAAAGAAAGAAUUUCACUGUGCUGUAAUGUAUAUGUAACAAAUAAAGGCUAUUUCCAAAGUUAUUCUACAGUCAAAUCUCUGAUAUAAACAACUUCUCAGCUGAACCAAUCAGUAUACAUGAGGCAGGACUUACUACACACAUAUGUUUAAGCAUGGAUCACAGCUGCUGUUUUUAGUUUUGUUUUAACUCUUAAAAACUGGUGUUAUUGUUUGCUUAUCUUUCAACCUUAUGUUUGGUUUGCCUGUUAACUAAAAUUAGCAUG